rnacentral:rRNA from 1 species
UACGGGGGGGGCAAGCGUUGUUCGGAAUUACUGGGCGUAAAGGGCUCGUAGGCGGCCAACUAAGUCAUACGUGAAAUCCCUCGGCUUAACCGGGGAACUGCGUCUGAUACUGGAUGGCUUGAGAUUGGGAGAGGGAUGCGGAAUUCCAGGUGUAGCGGUGAAAUGCGUAGAUAUCUGGAGGAACACCGGUGGCGAAGGCGGGUCUCUGGGCCGAUACUGACGCUGAGGAGCGAAAGCGUGGGGAGCGAACAGG